rnacentral:rRNA from 1 species
UACGGAGGGUGCAAGCGUUGUCCGGAAUUAUUGGGCGUAAAGAGCUCGUAGGCGGUGUGUCGCGUCGGCCGUGAAAACCUGCAGCUUAACUGUGGGCGUGCGGUCGAUACGGGCAUCACUGGAGUUCGGCAGGGGAGACUGGAAUUCCUGGUGUAGCGGUGAAAUGCGCAGAUAUCAGGAGGAACACCGGUGGCGAAGGCGGCAUCCUGGACCGGCAUUGACGCUGAGGAGCGAAAGCCAGGGGAGCAAACGGG